rnacentral:rRNA from 1 species
CCCUUAGACGUUCUGGGCCGCACGCGCGCUACACUGACCAGUGCAACAAGCAUCCGUCCCUGGCCGACAGGCUCGGGCAAUCUUUGAACGCUGGUCGUGAUGGGGAUAGACUUUUGCAAUUUUUGGUCUUCAACGAGGAAUUCCUAGUAAACGCAAGUCAUCAACUUGCAUUGAUUACGUCCCUGCCCUUUGUACACACCGCCCGUCGCACCUACCGAUUGAAUGGUCCGGUGAAGCCUCCGGAUUGGCGCGCACCUCGGUGCCGCCGAGAAGUUGGCUAAACCUUACCAUUUAGAGGAAGGUGAAGUCGUAACA